AUACGGGGGGGGCAAGCGUUGUUCGGAAUUACUGGGCGUAAAGGGCGUGUAGGCGGCCCUGCAAGUCUUUCGUGAAAUCCCACAGCUUAACUGUGGAACUGCGAGGGAAACUGCAGGACUUGAGUCCGGGAGAGGAGAGUGGAAUUCCCAGUGUAGCGGUGAAAUGCGUAGAUAUUGGGAGGAACACCGGUGGCGAAGGCGGCUCUCUGGACCGGAACUGACGCUGAGGCGCGAAAGCUAGGGGAGCAAACGGGAUUAGAAACCCCGGUAGUCC
rnacentral:rRNA from 1 species